UCAGGACGAACGCUGGCGGCGUGCCUAAUACAUGCAAGUCGAACGAACUCUGGUAUUGAUUGGUGCUUGCAUCAUGAUUUACAUUUGAGUGAGUGGCGAACUGGUGAGUAACACGUGGGAAACCUGCCCAGAAGCGGGGGAUAACACCUGGAAACAGAUGCUAAUACCGCAUAACAACUUGGACCGCAUGGUCCGAGUUUGAAAGAUGGCUUCGGCUAUCACUUUUGGAUGGUCCCGCGGCGUAUUAGCUAGAUGGUGGGGUAACGGCUCACCAUGGCAAUGAUACGUAGCCGACCUGAGAGGGUAAUCGGCCACAUUGGGACUGAGACACGGCCCAAACUCCUACGGGAGGCAGCAGUAGGGAAUCUUCCACAAUGGACGAAAGUCUGAUGGAGCAACGCCGCGUGAGUGAAGAAGGGUUUCGGCUCGUAAAACUCUGUUGUUAAAGAAGAACAUAUCUGAGAGUAACUGUUCAGGUAUUGACGGUAUUUAACCAGAAAGCCACGGCUAACUACGUGCCAGCAGCCGCGGUAAUACGUAGGUGGCAAGCGUUGUCCGGAUUUAUUGGGCGUAAAGCGAGCGCAGGCGGUUUUUUAAGUCUGAUGUGAAAGCCUUCGGCUCAACCGAAGAAGUGCAUCGGAAACUGGGAAACUUGAGUGCAGAAGAGGACAGUGGAACUCCAUGUGUAGCGGUGAAAUGCGUAGAUAUAUGGAAGAACACCAGUGGCGAAGGCGGCUGUCUGGUCUGUAACUGACGCUGAGGCUCGAAAGUAUGGGUAGCAAACAGGAUUAGAUACCCUGGUAGUCCAUACCGUAAACGAUGAAUGCUAAGUGUUGGAGGGUUUCCGCCCUUCAGUGCUGCAGCUAACGCAUUAAGCAUUCCGCCUGGGGAGUACGGCCGCAAGGCUGAAACUCAAAGGAAUUGACGGGGGCCCGCACAAGCGGUGGAGCAUGUGGUUUAAUUCGAAGCUACGCGAAGAACCUUACCAGGUCUUGACAUACUAUGCAAAUCUAAGAGAUUAGACGUUCCCUUCGGGGACAUGGAUACAGGUGGUGCAUGGUUGUCGUCAGCUCGUGUCGUGAGAUGUUGGGUUAAGUCCCGCAACGAGCGCAACCCUUAUUAUCAGUUGCCAGCAUUAAGUUGGGCACUCUGGUGAGACUGCCGGUGACAAACCGGAGGAAGGUGGGGAUGACGUCAAAUCAUCAUGCCCCUUAUGACCUGGGCUACACACGUGCUACAAUGGAUGGUACAACGAGUUGCGAACUCGCGAGAGUAAGCUAAUCUCUUAAAGCCAUUCUCAGUUCGGAUUGUAGGCUGCAACUCGCCUACAUGAAGUCGGAAUCGCUAGUAAUCGCGGAUCAGCAUGCCGCGGUGAAUACGUUCCCGGGCCUUGUACACACCGCCCGUCACACCAUGAGAGUUUGUAACACCCAAAGUCGGUGGGGUAACCUUUUAGGAACCAGCCGCCUAAGGUGGGACAGAUGAUUAAGGGUGAAGUCGUAACAAGGUAGCCGUA
rnacentral:rRNA from 2 species